CAGUGAUGAAGGCCAGGAUAUAAACGCCUAGUGUUCACCUCUAAUAUUUCCUUACAUCUUCCAAUGCUGCCCGGUACCCUGUCACACCUCCUAUUGCACUUUCUAUAAUAGUUACCCCCACGCACGUGGUCAGCUUGGAUCAUCACCCAUUAAAUUCCUACCACCACUUCUCGGUGGGUCUUCAGUCGAGCAGCAUCGCGGUGUUAAAUGAUCGUGCAACCACCGUACUUUUCACUUCCGCUGUGUUCUUCAAAAAGUACAGCAUUCUAGACAUCGGAUUUGAAUGCAAGAAAGCCAGUUCCAGAACAGCGAGAGUACUCCUCUGAACAUCAGUACAAUGGCCAAGCUACGCCUGUCUCUGGUGUAAGGGACCAACCGAUGUCUGAGGCUACCAGGGUCAUUUUGCACUCAAUCUCCUAACACCUGGGCAUCGAUGGCAUGGAUCCUGAAGUUUGGAGUGCUACCUGAUGAAGGGAAACCAAAAACCUGAAUCAAUUGAAGCUAGGAUCAUUACCAAUCAGAAGAUUGAAGCCAGCUUCAAACUUAUAAACUCUAGUGUUGUGGUAAAAGCAAUGAGAUACGCUCUUUAUCAAAGUCCUUGGUUUGUCCUCGAUAACGAUCGAAAGAUAAUUUGAAUGUUUGUGUUCCAUUGUAACUGCCUUGGACACAUGCUCAAACCUCUGUCAAAACCCAAAUUGGAAAGUUUGGAACAAUACAGGCAAUUCACAAUAGUGUGCCUCGUGUUGGCCAAUCACAGCAUGCAAAAUCUGUUGACCCUUUCCAAAUGUGCAUUGCGUUGAUGGAUUUUGCGCAUUUUGAUUUGCCUACGCGCUGCAAACUCUUGGAGGUGCACUAUUGUGAAACGGCCGUAUUGUUCAACAGAGGAACUCCAGAAUGACCUCUGGACUUACAAACUGAGCUCAUAUAUCUAAAAUACCAAUUUUGCUGGAAACAUUUUGAGUGCUGAAUUCUAAUAAACAGGUCUGUAUGACGUCCAUGCAAUAUUGGUGGGACAAAACUGUUUCUUUUUUUCCUGAUGUUUCAAUUCAUAUCUCAGAAUUCUGAAACUUGUUAAAGUGCAAACAAACUGUUUCAACAAUAAAUUAAUAUCCUCAUUACGCAAAAUGUGUUUCUUUUAUCAGUUAUUGGUUUCACUUUGCUGCACGCAGUUAAAAGGAAUUUUAGAAAGAUGUGCCGUUUCAUGUUUGAGAUGAUAUGGGAGAAUUCGGGGGCUUAAUCUCAGUGCCUUACAUGCAAGGUUUAAUCAACUUUGCUAUCAGAUGUUCUUGGACCCUCUAAACAUUAAGAAUUCUCGGAUUAUUAUUUAAACAAAGUUUUUUUUUUAUCAUUUCACAAUCUUUGAAAAUGUAUGCCUGUGUGCUUGACCCUCCCCCCUCAAAAAAACUGCUCAAACUUGGCGGACAAUCAUUUGCAACAUUCAAGCUGGGAACCAA